rnacentral:rRNA from 1 species
UACGGGGGGGGCAAGCGUUGUUCGGAUUUACUGGGCGUAAAGGGCGCGUAGGCGGCCACCGCAAGUCACUUGUGAAAUCUCCGGGCUUAACCCGGAGCGGCCAAGUGAUACUGUUGUGCUAGAGUGCGGAAGGGGCUACUGGAAUUCUCGGUGUAGCGGUGAAAUGCGUAGAUAUCGAGAGGAACACCUGCGGCGAAGGCGGGUAGCUGGGCCGACACUGACGCUGAGGCGCGAAAGCCAGGGGAGCGAACGGG